AUUGAACGCUGGCGGCAGGCCUAACACAUGCAAGUCGAGCGGAUGAAGGGAGCUUGCUCCUGGAUUCAGCGGCGGACGGGUGAGUAAUGCCUAGGAAUCUGCCUGGUAGUGGGGGAUAACGUCCGGAAACGGGCGCUAAUACCGCAUACGUCCUGAGGGAGAAAGUGGGGGAUCUUCGGACCUCACGCUAUCAGAUGAGCCUAGGUCGGAUUCGCUAGUUGGUGGGGUAAAGGCCUACCAAGGCGACGAUCCGUAACUGGUCUGAGAGGAUGAUCAGUCACACUGGAACGGAGACACGGUCCAGACUCCUACGGGAGGCAGCAGUGGGGAAUAUUGGACAAUGGGCGAAAGCCUGAUCCAGCCAUGCCGCGUGUGUGAAGAAGGUCUUCGGAUUGUAAAGCACUUUAAGUUGGGAGGAAGGGCAGUAAGUUAAUACCUUGCUGUUUUGACGGUACCAACAGAAUAAGCACCGGCUAACUACGUG
rnacentral:rRNA from 1 species